UACGAAGGGGGCUAGCGUUAAUCGGAAUUACUGGGCGUAAAGCGUGCGCAGGCGGUUUUGUAAGCCAGAUGUGAAAGCCCCGGGCUUAACCUGGGAAUGGCAUUUGGGACUGCAAGGCUUGAGUGCGGCAGAGGAGACUGGAAUUCCUGGUGUAGCAGUGAAAUGCGUAGAUAUCAGGAGGAAUACCGAUGGCGAAGGCAGGUCUCUGGGCUGACACUGACGCUCAUGCACGAAAGCGUGGGGAGCAAACAGG
rnacentral:rRNA from 1 species